AGAACGAACGCUGGCGGCAGGCUUAACACAUGCAAGUCGAACGCUCCUAGCAAUAGGGGAGUGGCAGACGGGUGAGUAACGCGUGGGAACAUACCCUCCGGUUCGGAAUAACUCAGGGAAACUUGAGCUAAUACCGGAUACGGCCUUUAGUCGAAGGAUUGGCGGCGAAAGAUUUAUCGCCGGAGGAUUGGCCCGCGUCCGAUUAGCUAGUUGGUGUGGUAAUGGCGCACCAAGGCGACGAUCAGUAGCUGGUCUGAGAGGAUGAUCAGCCACAUUGGGACUGAGACACGGCCCAAAACUCCUACGGGAGGCAGCAGUGGGGAAUAUUGGACAAUGGGCGCAAGCCUGAUCCAGCCAUGCCGCGUGAGUGAUGAAGGCCCUAGGGUUGUAAAGCUCUUUCGUCAGGGACGAUAAUGACGGUACCUGAAGAAGAAGCCCGGCUAACUUCGUGCCAGCAGCCGC
rnacentral:rRNA from 1 species